rnacentral:rRNA from 1 species
UACGUAGGUGGCAAGCGUUGUCCGGAAUUACUGGGUGUAAAGGGCGUGUAGGCGGGACCGCAAGUCAGAUGAGAAAUUCCCAGGCUAAAACUGGGGGCUGCAUCUGAAACUGUGGAUCUUGAGUGCUGGAGAGGAAAGCGGAAUUCCUGGUGUAGCGGUGAAAUGCGUAGAUAUUAGGAGGGACACCAGUGGCGAAGGCCGCUUUCUGGACAGUAACUGACGCUGCGGCGCGAAAGCGUGGGGAGCAAACAGG